CCUACGGGUGGCAGCAGUGAGGAAUAUUGGUCAAUGGGCGUAAGCCUGAACCAGCCAAGUCGCGUGAGGGAUGAAGGUUCUAUGGAUCGUAAACCUCUUUUAUAAGGGAAUAAAGUGCGGGACGUGUCCCGUUUUGUAUGUACCUUAUGAAUAAGGAUCGGCUAACUCCGUGCCAGCAGCCGCGGUAAUACGGAGGAUCCGAGCGUUAUCCGGAUUUAUUGGGUUGAAGGGGUGCGUAGGCGGGCUUUUAAGUCAGCGGGGAAAGUCUGUGGCGCAACCAUAGAAUUGCCGUUGAAACUGGGGGGGGUGAGGGGGUGUGAGGCGGGGGGAGGGUGGGGGGGAGGGGUGAAAUGCAGAG
rnacentral:rRNA from 1 species